CAGUGGGGAAUAUUGGACAAUGGGGGCAACCCUGAUCCAGCCAUGCCGCGUGAGUGAUGAAGGCCCUAGGGUUGUAAAGCUCUUUUGUCCGGGAAGAUAAUGACUGUACCGGAAGAAUAAGCCCCGGCUAACUUCGUGCCAGCAGCCGCGGUAAUACGAAGGGGGCUAGCGUUGCUCGGAAUCACUGGGCGUAAAGCGCACGUAGGCGGGCUCUUAAGUCGGAGGUGAAAUCCCAAGGCUCAACCUUGGAACUGCCUUCGAUACUGAGAGUCUUGAGUCCGGAAGAGGUAAGUGGAACUCCGAGUGUAGAGGUGAAAUUCGUAGAUAUUCGGAAGAACACCAGUGGCGAAGGCGGCUUACUGGUCCGGUACUGACGCUGAGGUGCGAAAGCGUGGGGAGCAAA
rnacentral:rRNA from 1 species